rnacentral:rRNA from 1 species
GACGAACGCUGGCGGCGUGCUUAACACAUGCAAGUCCAACGUUAAGGCCCUUCGGGGUACACGAGUGUCGAACGGGGUUGGUAACACGUGGAUGAUUUGCCCUGCAGUUCGGGAUAAGCCUGGGCAACUGGGUGAAAUACCGGAUAGGACCACCGCCUGCAAGGGUGGUGGUGGAAAGCUGGUGCGGUGUGGGAUGGGCCCGCGGCCUAUCAGCCUGUUGGUGGGGGGAUGGCCUAUCAAGGCGACGACGGGUAGCCGGCCUGAGAGGGUGACCGGCCACACUGGGACUGAGAUACGGCCCAGAAUCCUACGGGAGGCAGCAGUGGGAAAUAUUGCACAAUGGGCGCAAGCCUGAUGCAGCGACGCCGCGUGAGGGAUGACGGCCUUCGGGUUGCAAACCUCUUUCAGCACCGACGAAGCGCAAGUGACGGUAGGUGCAGAAGAAGGACCGGCCAACUACGUGCCAGCCGCCGCCGUAA